rnacentral:tRNA from 1 species
GCCGGAGUGGCGGAAUUGGCAGACGCGCCAGGUUGAGGGCCUGGUGAUCUUUACUGAUCGUGCAGGUUCAAGUCCUGUCUCCGGCA